GGUUGACCUCGGAUCAGGUAGGGAUACCCGCUGAACUUAAGCAUAUCAAUAAGCGGAGGAAAAGAAACCAACAGGGAUUGCCUCAGUAACGGCGAGUGAAGCGGCAAGAGCUCAAAUUUGAAAUCUGGCCCCGCGGGGGGUCUGAGUUGUAAUUUGGAGAGGAUGCUUCGGGUACGGUCCCCAUCUAAGUGCCCUGGAACGGGCCGUCAUAGA
rnacentral:rRNA from 1 species